rnacentral:rRNA from 1 species
GACGGAGGAUGCAAGCGUUAUCCGGAAUUAUUGGGCGUAAAGCGUCCGCAGGUGGCUGUUCAAGUCUGCUGUCAAAGCGCAGAGCUUAACUCUGUACAGGCGGUGGAAACUGAAGAGCUAGAGUAUGGUAGGGGUAGAGGGAAUUCCCGGUGUAGCGGUGAAAUGCGUAGAUAUCGGGAAGAGCACCAGUGGCGAAAGCGCUCUACUGGGCCAUAACUGACACUGAGGGACGAAAGCUAGGGGAGCGAAAGGG